rnacentral:rRNA from 1 species
UGGGGAAUAUUGGACAAUGGGGGCAACCCUGAUCCAGCCAUGCCGCGUGAGUGAUGAAGGCCUUCGGGUUGUAAAGCUCUUUUGGCGGGGACGAUGAUGACGGUACCCGCAGAAUAAGCCCCGGCUAACUUCGUGCCAGCAGCCGCGGUAAGACGAAGGGGGCUAGCGUUGGUCGGAAUUACUGGGCGUAAAGCGCGUGUAGGCGGUUGCCCAAGUCGGGUGUGAAAGCCUUGAGCUCAACUCAAGAAAUGCACUCGGUACUGGGUGACUAGAGGACCGGAGAGGAUAGUGGAAUUCCCAGUGUAGUGGUGAAAUACGUAGAGAUUGGGAAGAACACCAGUGGCGAAGGCGGCUAUCUGGACGGUUUCUGACGCUAAGACGCGAAAGCGUGGGGAGCAAACAGG